rnacentral:misc_RNA from 1 species
GAUGGGUGCAUAAAUGUAGAUUUUGAGGCUUUAGAUUAUGUGAAGGUAUAAAGAGAAAGGAGUGUGUCAUAUCUGAUUCAUGCUGUGAAAGAUCAAUGGAAAGACAGUUUUUUAAAAAGGGAAGUUAGUAAAAAAACCAGAUCUUAUUGUUACUUCAAUUUUGCAUUUUUCAUUGUCAGAAGUCAGGCUUUCAAAAUAUUAGGGAUAAAAGUGAAAGGUUUGUCUUAUUCUUGCUUAUUUCUCACCUCCCCUACUCUCCUUUUCUCUGUUCUUGAUGUAUUUGGGUUCUUCAAAAAGCCAUCCACCACAGCGAUUCUCUCAAGCUUUUCCAGAUAUCCCCUAAGAAUCUAAGGAGAACUGCGACUUUAGGAGGUUCUCAAUCCAAGAAAAGGCAAUCAUCAAUGGAUAACAGGUAUAAUUUUAUGAGGCAGGGCACUGGUGUAUGGAGAUCCCUGAGGGAAGGAGACUUUGAAGAAGAGGAUGUUUGGGAUGUUUUAAGAGAGACAAAAGAUGCAAAUUCCAAUUAUGGCAAAUCCACAGAAUCCUCAUUUUCUGUUCCAAGAAGCCUCCCUUCUGCUGCAAGAAUGAUCCCAAGAACUACAAGUAGUGGCAGCAGCAGCAGCAGCAACAAUUCCUCUCAUGAAACCAAAGUAGUGCAGCAAUCGGCACCUGUCAACAUUCCUGACUGGUCAAAAUUUUGCAAAAGGAAGACCAAGAAAGCCUCCAAGAAUGCAAGUUCAUUGCAUUAUGAAGAUUAUGAUGAAGAUCAUGAAUCAGAUGGUGAUAGUUAUAACGGGGUUGUGAAUGAGGAUAAUGAUGAUGAAUAUGAAAAUAAAGAUAGUGAUUACUAUUUUAAACUGCCCCCACAUGAGCUCAUUGCCAGACGGCUUGCAAGGAGCCAGAUUUCCUCAUUUUCUGUUUUUGAAGGGGUUGGCAGGACCCUCAAAGGGAGGGACCUUAGUAAAGUUAGGAAUGCUGUUUUGACCAGAACUGGGUUUCUUGAAUCACCAUGACCAUAAUUUAAUUCUAAUGCCACAAUGAAGCUGGUGGCCAUAUAGUCAUGAUGAUGAUCUUUACUCAUCUAGUUAGUAGUAUGUAUAGGGGUUUGUGUUGGUUCCUUGAUGAUUUGUCAUGGUUUUUGUCUAGGGGAUUAGUGGGCAUUGGUGAAUGAUGAUCCAUUUUUAUGUAUAAAGCAUGAUUUAGUGCAUAUUAAUGCCUAUGGGAUUUGAUUGCUUUUAAAAAAAAAAAAAAAAAAAA